rnacentral:tRNA from 1 species
AAGUAAAGAAGUAAAAUUACAUUUAAUUUCGACUUAAAAUAAGGAAAUAACCCAUACUUA